rnacentral:rRNA from 1 species
AGAGUUUGAUCCUGGCUCAGGAUGAACGCUGGCGGCGUGCCUAACACAUGCAAGUUGAGCGAUUUACUUCGGUAAAGAGCGGCGGACGGGUGAGUAACGCGUGGGUAACCUACCUGUACACACGGAUAACAUACCGAAAGGUAUGCUAAUACGGGAUAACAUAUUUGAGAGGCAUCUCUUGAAUAUCAAAGGUGAGCCAG